AUAACCAAUUUAUUGCGGAUAAAUUUUAAUAACAAAAUCUUAAGUGGACCCCAAAGGGCCAUGUGGACCCCAGCUGAGAAAUAUUGGCCUAGAGUAAUCCUGAGAUGGCAGCACUUUCUGUUGGAAAGGUAAGCCACAUAUCUGGUGAUGUUAAUAUGAGACAACUCUUGCACUGAUCUGUGAGAUGAAGAAGUGAUGGUGCAAAUGCAGUUUCUUCCUGAACACGUGUGGAUGUAUUAGCAACUGAUGAACAGAUCACGUGGAAAUAUACAUGGCAGAUACUGUCUGAGAAUUAUGGAGGGCAAUCAUUAUUAAUAUGGAAGUAGCACCAGAACAACACUCACUAGAGUAACUGUUUCUCACUGGAUUUAACAUAUACUGAACUCACUGGAGUAAUAUUUCCUGCAAUAAAUAUCUCUCAUUGGAGUAACACUCGUUGAAGUAAUCACUUUCACUUGGAUUGGAAUAACACUCAUUGAAGUAAAUCACUUUCACUUGAGUAACACAGAAGUCGUACAUUUAAUUUUUUUUCCUUUCUCUCACUCACUGGAGUAAUUUUCAUUGAAUUAAAACACUCUCAUUGGAGUAUCACUUAUUGAAGUAACUCUCUUUCUGUCUCUCUCUUGCAUUUUCUUCCUGGGGUAAUAUUACCAGAGAACUGAACCAAACACAAAGUUGAGUUAUUUGAGUUCAACUUACUUUUUUUCAAUUGCAUUUUUUUAAUUUCAAACAUACCGAAAUCUAAAAACAAGAAAGUCUCUUUAAAAAUUGAAUAAUCUAACAAAAAAAAAAAAAAUACCACAAGAAGUCUUACAAAUAUAUGUUUAUACAAAAUCUUUUCAUAAUUUAAAUUUUACACUUUUAUGAAACCAACUUUGUUAAGUUUUCUCUCAAAGGAAUCAAUCUUUGAGCAAAUUAUAUUGCUGAGUUUACUCAGGCUCAAACAGGCUCAAACAGGCUCACUGAGGCUUAAAGAGAAAACUGGCAAAAUAAAAGACUUUUUAAGAAUCUCCAGCACAAAAUAGAAUGGCAAUGCAGUGGCAAAAGCUUAGUCCAGCUCAGUUCCACCAACUGCAAGAAUAUU
rnacentral:lncRNA from 1 species